rnacentral:rRNA from 1 species
UCAACAAGGUGGUGGUGUCGCCUUUAAGCCAUGUCUGUGGUGUAGUCGUCGCAGGUGUGGGCGGGUGUUGGGCAGUGCCCUGCACACGAGUUGGAGCCUAUCAACACGUCUGAUUUGGUGUCUGCGGUCGGAUGGCACGUGUACAUUGCACGAAUUAAUGCGCCCUAGUCAGGCCGAUGUUGCCUGUAAAGUUUUGCAUGGAAUAAUGGAAGAGGACUUCGGUUCUAUUUCGUUGGUUUUCGGAUCUGAGGUGGAAAUCAGAGGAUACGUGAAAUUCAUGGACCGUAGCCAGACAAACUAAAGCGAAGGCAUUCGUCAAGCAUGUUUUCAUUGGCCAUGAGCGAAAGUCAGAGGCUCGAAGACGAUCAGAUACCGUCCUAGUUCUGACCAUAAACGAUGCCAACUGACGAUCCGUGGUGGUAGUGAUGUUGCCUUCCCCACGGGCAGUCCGGGGAAGGUUUGGCU